rnacentral:rRNA from 1 species
CCUACGGGUGGCUGCAGUGGGGAAUAUUGGACAAUGGGGGCAACCCUGAUCCAGCAAUGCCGCGUGAGUGAUGAAGGCCUUAGGGUUGUAAAGCUCUUUUACCAGGGAUGAUAAUGACAGUACCUGGAGAAUAAGCUCCGGCUAACUCCGUGCCAGCAGCCGCGGUAAUACGGAGGGAGCUAGCGUUGUUCGGAAUUACUGGGCGUAAAGCGCACGUAGGCGGUUACUCAAGUCAGAGGUGAAAGCCCGGGGCUCAACCCCGGAACUGCCUUUGAAACUAGGUGGCUAGAAUCUUGGAGAGGCGAGUGGAAUUCCGAGUGUAGAGGUGAAAUUCGUAGAUAUUCGGAAGAACACCAGUGGCGAAGGCGACUCGCUGGACAAGUAUUGACGCUGAGGUGCGAAAGCGUGGGGAGCAAACAGGAUUAGAUACCCUAGUAGUC